AGGGGUUUCUUUCGGCCUCCAGCCGACAUGGAAUGUUGUAGGCCGGCGGAAACUACUUGC
rnacentral:pre_miRNA from 1 species